UACGUAUGGUGCAAGCGUUAUCCGGAUUUACUGGGCGUAAAGGGAGCGCAGGCGGCGCGCCAAGUCUGAUGUGAAACCCCGGGGCUCAACCCCGGGCAUGCAUUGGAAACUGGCGGGCUGGAGUGCCGGAGAGGUAAGCGGAAUUCCUAGUGUAGCGGUGAAAUGCGUAGAUAUUAGGAGGAACACCAGUGGCGAAGGCGGCUUACUGGACGGCAACUGACGCUGAGGCUCGAAAGCGUAGGGAGCAAACAGG
rnacentral:rRNA from 1 species